GGGGAGGUCGCAUAGAGGCCGAGUGCGGAGGUUUGCUAAACCUCUGAGUCGGGUUUCCGGCUCCGCGGGUUCGAAUCCCGCCCUCCCCG
rnacentral:tRNA from 1 species